ACGGGGCAGCCGUGGGGAAUAUUGCACAAUGGGCGCAAGCCUGAUGCAGCGAUGCCGCGUGAGGGAAGAAGGUUUUCGGAUUGUAAACCUCUGUCAUCGGGGACGAUAAUGACUGUACCCGAGAAGGAAGCUCCGGCUAACUACGUGCAAGCAGCCGCGGUAAUAAGUAGGGAGCGAGCGUUAUCCGGAAUUACUGGGUGUAAAGGGAGUGUAGGCGGGACUGUAAGUCAGAUGUGAAAUAUGCCGGCUCAACUGGCAGACUGCAUUUGAAACUGCGGUUCUUGAGUGAAGUAGAGGUAAGCGGAAUUCCUAGUGUAGCGGUGAAAUGCGUAGAUAUUAGGAGGAACAUCAGUGGCGAAGGCGGCUUACUGGGCUUUAACUGACGCUGAGGCUCGAAAGCGUGGGGAGCAAACAGGAUUAGAUACCCUGGUA
rnacentral:rRNA from 1 species